CCGCCGCAGCGCGGUGCCGCACGCUGAUAACGAGCCAGGCCAUCGCUGCGUUAUUUGAAUAACAUCUCCCCCCGGGGAGGAGGAGGCCGGCAGCUCUUCAGCCCCUCGUGUGAUGGGAGCAAGGCGAGCGAGGUACCGCAGCUGCACAGGAAACCCACGUCUGCCUGCCACGGGCUCGGAGUGGGGGGACCAAGCUGCCUGGGAACUUAACUACCUUGCAGCUUUCCACAUGAUGAAGAGUGCUAUACGAGACUUGAUGAUUUGACCUAAUCUGACAAUGCUGCUCUGCCUUCUCAGUCCUGGGAGAUGCCAGAGGGGUAACAGCAAGUUGUAGGAUCAUAAUCUUCAUGUUUUCCUACAUGAUUUAGAUAAAUGCUGGGUCAGGCUUCUGUCUGUGUUCAUUUGUCUGAUCCUGGGGUUCAAGCGCAGGGACUCAGCAGCAGAAAAUAGCUAUUUGAGCUCUCUCACUGGCUUCUGGUGUGUCCUUGACAAAUGACUUCAGCCAUGUGACUUUCUUUUCCACGCUGGAAUGGAAGAUAAGAACUUCAUAUUUGUCAGAAAUGCAGAAGAUAAUUUAUUAGUAUUUAAAAAAUAAGGUGACAGAGAAAAAGAUGAUAACCAUCAAUCCAACUGCAUCAGUCAGAGCUGUCAAAGAGUCUGCGUCUCCGACGGAUACAACCAUGCUUUAUCCAUCUACCUGAGAGCGAGCUUGCACGCGCAGCUCGCAGGGGAAGCGGCUGCUGCGGGCUCGGCCGAGCCCACGGGCGGACGGAGCGGGCGCCCUCCCGGGCACGGCCCCGCCAGCGGCGCCGGCAGCCCGGGACCCGUCUGGGGGAAGCCCGGGCUCUCGCCCCGCUUCGGGUAGCGAUACGCUCAGGGGCUGCUCGUCUCCAGAGACUCUUCUUUUCUUCCAAAGAGCACUCGGAAUUCAUCUCGUGCUAUGUGCUGCAUUAAGUGCACCUCAAUGUCUUUACAGAGGGCUUUCUGUAACAUAUAUUCCGUCUGGAAAGGACGGAAUAACUCUGGGCUGGCCAGACGGAAAGUUUUUAUUCUUAAAUGAGCUUUUUUUUUUUUUUUUUUUUUUACUAAAUGCUGAAAAACAAGAACACUUGCACACGCCAGUAUCAGUAUUAAAUUCCUCAGAUUUUUUCAUGUUCCUCCUGUUAUUGUGAGAGGGGAAAAAAGGAAAGACAUUUUGGAGAACAGAUUGUCCCAGUCUCAGAUAAGAAAGUUUCACAGUCUGAAUUGAUUUGGAGAUACUCUGGCGAGAAGCAAAGCAUGAUACAGUUUCAGGGCCAGGAAGUACUUAACAUUAGGAACUGCUACAACUCCCCAAGCUAUGUUUUUUUUUUUAUUUGUUUUUUUUUUUUUUUCCCCCAUGGAGAAGUUCUUUCCCCAUCUUCCCAAACCCAUGGCCUGCCCCACCUUCACCCCUCCGUAGCACUUCAAUUUUUUAACCAGUCAAUCCUCAGAGAAAGUGCUGCCCAAACAUACGCACAAAAUGGAAAUUUCUAGGAUCCCUAGUCAGAGGCUGCCAAGUUCCUUCCAUCAGGUGUCACAGGGCAAGGGCAGUUUCAUUGCCAUUUGCGAAAUAACCGCUAGCUCUUUUCUCUCGUGCUCCACUAUGGAAUAUUGCAGCUUUAUGAAAGUUCCCUUAUAAAGCACUGUCAUCUGCAAACACUGCAGAAUUACAAGCCGAGCAUCCCAAAUCCAGUAGACUGAAUUAAAAUGGUAAGAUUUGCACUCUUUUCUAUUAGUUUUAUUUUCUUGAACCAAUAAGUCAUAUUUGGACAUUUUUGUCUUCAAGGAUUUUUAUUAUAUCUGAGAUUCUGUAUCUACCUUAGCUACAUCUUUAAAAAUGCCUCUUUUAAAAAUAGCACUGUGACUCUGUGAUAAAAUUUUAAUUUUUGGCAACAGUGCAUACAGUAUUUAUAUUUGCUUGUGGUAUUUAUAUUUCUAGGCUUAACCAUUUAAUAGCAACAGUAAUGCUGAAAUACUAAACACUGGUGAUCUUGUUUUAAAGAUGGACAGAAUGAAGAGAUAAAAAAGUUAAUUUUUUCAGAGCUGCACCAGGAGUUUCCAUCCUGGGCAGACCUGUGAAGGCCUGGGCUUCCCUUUUCCAGUCAGACCAGUAUGCUGCAUCAGGAGGAAUGAGUCAGAUGUGGGAAGCAGCACUGAUUUGUGUGUAAUCAGUGCACAAGAUACAAAGUGCCAAAAGGUACCAGAAUAUACAAAACUAGUAUGCAAAGCAUGGAAAAUACAAGAGCUGCAAAGACGGACUGGACAAGCUCCCAGCAUUGAUGAUUCUGUGACUGUCUAUGUACGUCCAGUAUUGCACAUAGCAUAACCACUCUUAGCAUGUGAGUUGUUCACAAUAGCUCCUAAAAAGUCAUAUGCUGGCAUAAUUUAUCUUCUAUUCUUGUCAGUAGAGCCUAUUUUUCAGAAAGCAAGGGCAUACUCUUUUUGUCUGUAGGCACCAAUAAUAUAUUUUAUCAGACUGACUCCUACAAUUAGGAAAACCAGAUGAACUGUCAGGCACACAGUUUUGAAAGAGUGCAGCAGCAGCAGAAUAUCCUCAAACUCUCAUACUUUCUUCUCACUCCAGAGAAGGAGACUCCACAACCUCCCUGGGCAACCUGUGCCAGUGCUCUGUCAUUCUCACAGUGAAGAAAUUCCCCCUCACGGUCAGGCAGAACUUCCUGUGCUUCAGUUUCUGCCCAUUGCCUCUUGUCCUGUCACACGAGGCAACUGAAAAGAGUUUGUCCCCAUCCCCUUGACACCCUCCCUUCAGAUACUUGUACACAUUGAUCAGAUCCCCCCCCUCAGUCUUCUCUUCCCCAGGCUGAAGAGGCCCAGCUCUCGCAGCCGUUCCUCAUAGGGCAGGUGCUCCAGCCCUCUGAUCAUCUUUGUAGCCCUACGCUGGGCUCUCUCCAGUAGCUCCAUGUCUCUCUUGGACUGGGGAGCGCAGACCUGGACACAGUACUUGAGGCCUCCACAGGGCUGAGUAGAGUGGCAGGAAAACCUCCCUUGACCUGCUGGCAACACUCUUCCCAAUGUACCCCAGGAGACCAUUGGCCUUCUUGGCCACAAGGGCACAUUGCUGGCUCGUGGUCAAUUUAUCUUCCACCAGCACUCCCAGGUCCUUCUCUGCAGAGCUGCUCUCCAGAAGGUCAGCCCACAGCUUGUACUGGUGCAUGGGGUUAUUUUUCCCUAGGUGCAGGACCCUGCACUUACCCUUGUGGAACCUCAUGAGGUUCCUCUCUGCCCAACUCUCCAGCCUGUCCAGGUCUCUCUGAAUGGCAGCACAGCCCUCAGCUGUGUCAGCCAUUCCUCCCACCUUGGUAUCAUCAGCAAACUUGCUGAGGUGGCACUCUGUCCCCUCAUCCAGGUCACUGAUGAAAAAGUUGAACAGGAUGGGACCCAGUACUGAGCCCUGGGGGACACCACUAGCCACAGGCCUCCAACUAGACUCAGAGCCACUGAUGACAACACUCUGAGCUCUGCCUUUCAGCCACUGUCCUCUCAUCUAACCCACACUUCCUGAGCUUAUCUAGGAGGAUGUUCUGGGAGACAGUGUCAAAAGCCUUGCUGAAGUCAAGGGACACAACGUCCACUGCUCUCCCCUCAUCUACACAGCCAGUCAUUCCAUCAUAAAAGGCUCUCAGAUUUUUUAAGCAGGAUUUCCCCUUGGUGAAUCUAUGCUGGCUACUCCUGAUCACCUUCUUUUCUUCCAUAUGUCUGGAGAUGACAUCCAGAAUGAGCUGUUCCAUCACCUUUCUAAGGAUGGAGGUGAAGCUGACCACCCUGCAGUUGCCUGGUUCCUCCUUCUUGCCCUUCUUGAAGAUUGGAGUGACACUGGCUUUCUUCCAGUCCUCAGGCACCUCUCCAAUUCUCCAGGACCUUUCAAAGAUGAUGGAGAGUGACUUGGCAACAACAUCCGCCAGCUGCCUCAGUACCCGUGGGUGCAUCCCAUCCAGGCCCAUGGAUUUGUGGAUAUCAGUCUUGCCCAGAAGGUCUCUAAUCCUAUCCCCCUCAACCAAAGGAAAGUCUUCCCUUCUCCAGAGUUUCUCUCUUGUCUCCACGUUCUGGGAUUCCUGGGGUUGCCCUUAGCAGUGAAGACUGAAGCAAAGAAGGCAUUCAGUAAUUCUGCCUUCUCUGUAUCCCUUGUCACCAGGGCCCCUGCCCCAUUCAGUAGCAGGCCCACAUUUUCCCUAGUGCUCCUCUUGCUGCUGAUGUAUUUGAAGAAGCUCUUCCUGUUGUCCUUGACAUCCCUUGCAAGACUCACUAGGAUAACAAUCUAUUAGAAGACAACGCUAUGUCGAAAUAAUGCUCUCCGGAGCCAUUCUUCUCACUACUCAGGCCCUGCAACCACUAAACUCAUUAUCAGAAGCAAGAUGUCUGUGGCUAAAAGUAAACUAAAUGCAUUUAGACCCUGCCUGAGUAGAAAAAGGAACCAACAUCUUUCAACUACCAGUAUGAUAAAUAUAACUUAAAAUAGAACCACUAGCAUCCCCAGAUCCUCAUACUUACAGGAAUGCAACACAUUUCAUUGCGUGCACCCGGUGCUCUCAGGGUAGCAUGCAGGGUGCACCAGAAAGAGCCACCACGUACUGCCUGUGAAGGGUAGAAGCACCCAGUUACCAGCGAAGGAACAUUUCUCUGCAAAUAACCAUCCUCGAUCUGAUGUCUUAGUCCUGAGCCUCAAGGAAUCCAGCAGUACCUCUUCCCAAAGAAAAAUUUGGGUGCAACCACUGAUCUGAUGGAGACCAAAACCCAUCAGCUCAGAGAAAGUGGUUUUUUUCAGUCCUUCCUUCCCUGAUAUUUCUGUUCCUCAGGCUUCCCUUUCUCUUUCUGCUUCCUCCUCUAGUAUUUCUGUCCUUCCAAAAUAUCAGCUACUUUUUUUUGAGAUGGUCAUAGACAUAGCUAGUUUAACAACUACAAGACAAUCUUCUCAACUUACACACAGUUUUGAAGUCUGCUGCUUCUAUUUCAGGCCUGAAGAAGGACUUGCAUGCCCAAAAACUUGUCUAGUUUUUCCAGUGACAACGUUUAGUCUAGUAAAAGAUAUUAACUCUGUGAACAAACUUUGUCUGGACUAUGUCUUUAGGCUGUCAUAACUACAGCACCAUCAUCAUUAUUCUUCAUGUCACAUAGUCAAUCAGUAGAUACUUCAUUUUUUUUUCUUUCCAUAAGUGAUAUGCAAAGUUAGAAUAAACCAAGUAGUGGGGGCUUUUUCAGAUAGAUGACUCAGACAGAAAAUGAGAGUCUUCCAAACAGUACUUUGACUUUUAGAGCCUGAAUUCAGACAGAAAUUGUGGAGGUGUGGGGAGACGGGGUGUGGGACAGGGGGAGUAGUGGCUAUAAAAGAUGUACACAACAACUGGAUUUAAAAUAACUAAAUUCAGAACCAGAGUAAGGUAAGAACAGAGAAAUACGUUCAACCAAUGACAUCUGAAUGUCAAAAAUUUUCUUGAAUUAAGCUGGAAUUAAUUGCAAAAAGCUCAUUAUAACGUUGAAUUAAAUUGAAUAUUAUGCUUAACCAAACACAGAGAAUAAAAGGUUGAAUACUUCA